rnacentral:rRNA from 1 species
GAUCCUGGCUCAGGAUGAACGCUAGCUACAGGCUUAACACACGCAAGUCGAGGGGCAGCAUGGUCUUAGCUUGCUAAGGCCGAUGGCGACCGGCGCACGGGUGAGUAACGCGUAUCCAACCUGCCUUACACUCUUAGGACAGCCUUCUGAAAGGGAGAUUAAUACAAGAUGUUAUCAUGAGUAAGCAUUUUCGCAUGAUUAGAGGUUUACCGGUGUAAGAUGGGGAUGCGUU